rnacentral:rRNA from 1 species
AUUGAACGCUGGCGGCAGGCCUAACACAUGCAAGUCGAGCGGAGCGGCGGACGGGUGAGUAAUGCCUAGGAAUCUGCCUGGUAGUGGGGGAUAACGUCCGGAAACGGGCGCUCAUACCGCAUACUAUCAGAUGAGCCUAGGUCGGAUUAGCUAGUUGGUGGGGUAAAGGCCUACCAGGUCGACGCUUCGUAAAUGGUCUGAGAGGAUGAUCAGUCAAACUGGAGUUGAGACACGGUCCAUACUCCUACGUGAGGCAGCAGUGGUGAAUGUUGGACAAUGGGCGAAAGCCUGAUCCAGCCAUGCCGCGUGUGUGAAGAAGGUCUUCGGAUUGUAAAGCACUGUCAGCGGGUAGGCGUUACCCGCAGAAGAAGCACCGGCUAACUCCGUGCCAGCAGCCGCGGUAAUUC